AUUGAACGCUGGCGGCAGGCCUAACACAUGCAAGUCGAGCGGAGCGGCGGACGGGGGAGUAAUGCCUAGGAAUCUGCCUGGGAGUGGGGGAGAACGUCCGGAAACGGGCGCUAAUACCGCAACCUAUUAGCUGAGCCUAGGCCGGAUUAGCUAGUGGGUGGGGUAAAGGCCUACCAAGGCGACGAUCCGGAACUGGUCUGAGAGGAUGAUCAGUCACACUGGAACUGAGACACGGUCCAGACUCCUACGGGAGGCAGCAGUGGGGAAUAUUGGACAAUGGGCGAAAGCCUGAUGCAGCCAUGCCGCGUGUGUGAAGAAGGUCUUCGGAUUGUAAAGCACUUUAAGUUGGGAGGCGUUACCAACAGAAUAAGCACCGGCUAACUUCGUGCCAGCCGCCGCGGUAAUUC
rnacentral:rRNA from 1 species